AGCUGUUGCCAUUUGUACAUCUAUUUCACGGGCCGCCGCGCCAGGCAAUUUGAUAAACCGACUCACGGGGCAACAGUGCAUUGAGUACGAGCUCUCAAAAAUCCGAUAAGGCCGGCUGUUGUCGAUAUCAUCGCCACUGUCGGUACUGCCGCCAGUUUCAAUACCUAAGAGACGAUAUCGAUAGUGUUCCGGCAAGAAUUCGUUUGAACAUCCCUAAGUUACGGUGAAAUGCCAAUGGACAGGUUUCCAUUAAACAAUGGUGUAGUGGCUCUGAUGACGUGUACAAACUAAGAGAGAUAAAAUCCGGAUUUCAUGCCUUCGGAAACAGAUUAAGCAAUCUUGAGAAGGAUGUUGCGUACCUCAAAGCGACAGCAAAAUCAGGCGGGCUGAUCGGCAAAGCGCCAACAAAGCUCCGAUAAUUAGUCUCGCUAAUUUAUACCCUGCAGGCCUCCCGUGCAAGUCCUCUGUGGAGGUUGAGGCUCUUGAGAAUUUCUUGAAUGAAAACGCAGACACCAGGAAGAAGUUUUUCCAGGGUCUGUUGCAGCUGGGAGGGGCAAAGCCCGGAGAUAUCAUCAGAGAAGUACUGAGAACCCUCUUGAGUAAUUGAGCAGCCAAGGAAUAUAGCUACCAAGGGGAGGGAUCGAACAACAAGGCGUUUCAAACUCUGCUGAUACAUGACAUGGCCCUGCAUGUUGUACGAGCAAACCCACAAUUUUAUGAUUAUACAGCUAGUGCAUUCAAGGAAGUAGUACAAAACUGGCUGAGAAAUGCGAGCAAAAGGCUACUUGCUGAAGGGAAGAAAGUCCCUCGAGGACCUCAAAGAGUGCCAGAUUAUGUAAAAUUGUCAUUCAGUUUCAAAUCG